rnacentral:rRNA from 1 species
UACAGAGGGGGCAAGCGUUGUUCGGAAUUACUGGGCGUAAAGGGCGCGUAGGCGGCCUGCUAAGUCGAACGUGAAAUCCCCGGGCUCAACCUGGGAACUGCAUUUGUGACUGCACGGCUAGAGUGUGUCAGAGGGGGGUAGAAUUCCACGUGUAGCAGUGAAAUGCGUAGAUAUGUGGAGGAAUACCGAUGGCGAAGGCAGCCCCCUGGGAUAACACUGACGCUCAUGCACGAAAGCGUGGGGAGCAAACAGG